AUUGAACGCUGGCGGCAUGCCUUACACAUGCAAGUCGAACGGCAGCACGGGAGCAAUCCUGGUGGCGAGUGGCGAACGGGUGAGUAAUGUAUCGGAACGUGCCCAAUCGUGGGGGAUAACGCAGCGAAAGCUGUGCUAAUACCGCAUACGAUCUAUGGAUGAAAGCGGGGGAUCGCAAGACCUCGCGCGAUUGGAGCGGCCGAUAUCAGAUUAGGUAGUUGGUGGGGUAAAGGCCCACCAAGCCUGCGAUCUGUAGCUGGUCUGAGAGGACGAUCAGCCACACUGGGACUGAGACACGGCCCAGACUCCUACGGGAGGCAGCAGUGGGGAAUUUUGGACAAUGGGCGCAAGCCUGAUCCAGCAAUGCCGCGUGCAGGAUGAAGGCCUUCGGGUUGUAAACUGCUUUUGUACGAGACGAAAAGACUCGCUCUAAUACAGUGGGUACAUGACGGUAUCGUAAGAAUAAGCACCGGCUAACUACGUGCCAGCAGCCGCGGUAA
rnacentral:rRNA from 1 species